UUUCUGAGUUUUUUCUAGAAAAUUUAUUCUAAAAUUUUUAGUUUUUUUGGUGUUAUUUUUUUAACCAUUUACAAUGGCUCUAAUACGCCUUGUAGAAAUGUCACGAAAUUACCAUAAUAUUUUCCAAUUUAUUUGACUUCCUUUUAAAUAAUUGGAUUUAAAACAUAAUUUAAUAAUAUUUAAUUCAUAAUCUAAUUUCCCUCUGGGAUUAAUAAAGUAUUUCUGAAUUUGAAUUUAAUUUCGAAUUUCGAUUCAAAUGAAAGGAAUAACGUGACUUAUUGCUAAUUAUGUAUUUUUGUUUUCCGUUGUCGUCCAUCUCCACCACCUUUCACUCGCUCUAUAAGUAACUCUGAGUAGAAGAUGUCGGCAAAAUCUUCAGUGAUUCAUUUCGGCUGCAUAAAGUCAUAAAGAUAUUUGUAAAGAAACAGCCAGAAGAAAACAUACAGCGACUUAUAAAAUGUUUGGUAAGCCUUGUGUAAGUGAUGCUAGCAUGCUACCUAGCUAACUGACGUUUGCUAGCUAAGCUAGCUAACGUUAGCGCAUUUUUGUCACCAGGCCUCACACAAAGAUUUAGUCAAUAUUAGCUACACAUAUUAAGUAUGUAUACAGUACAUACUUGUAUACAGUCUGUUCUGUAUGUUUUAUGGCGCUGUUUUCUAUAAAAAGGCGAUUUUAAACCA